rnacentral:rRNA from 1 species
UGUGCCCUACGGGGGGCAGCAGUGGGGAAUAUUGCACAAUGGGGGGAACCCUGAUGCAGCGACGCCGCGUGAAGGAAGAAGUAUUUCGGUAUGUGAACUUCUAUCAGCAGGGAAGAAAAUGACGGUACCUGACUAAGAAGCCCCGGCUAACUACGUGCCAGCAGCCGCGGUAAUACGUAUGGGGCAAGCGUUAUCCGGAUUUACUGGGUGUAAAGGGAGCGUAGGCGGCCUGGCAAGCCUGAUGUGAAAUACCGGGGCCCAACCCCGGGGCUGCAUUGGGAACUGCCAGGCUGGAGUGCCGGAGG